AUAUAUGUAAUGCUUUGGUUGAUAUGAAAUAAAUUGAUGUAAAAGUUUUUAAUCUUGACAUGUUGAUUUCGGCACUUGGAAGUUCAUGACUUUUGUCCACUAAUUAUUAUUCAAGUGUUGCUGUAAAGUUUGUUGCAAUUGAAGCAUGUAGACUUAUAGAGCUAGCAGUGCUAAAAGUGAGAUGAAGAGGCACUUCAAUUUGUUGCCUAUUGACCGACAAUCUAUAGGGAAAGCUGUUGCUAUAAGAACAGGUGCAAAUGGAGAGAGUAAAAAUAUUGUGCUGAAAUAUAUAUAUAUGAGAUACGUGAAGUUGAAUAAAGGGAUUCAACAAGUAUGCAAUGUGCUAUAUUUUGUGAUGAUAUGUAUAUGUAUGAGUAAUUUUGUGAUUCAAGAAAUUUAUGAAAA
rnacentral:lncRNA from 1 species